rnacentral:rRNA from 1 species
UGGUGGAGUGAUUUGUCUGGUUAAUUCCGUUAACGAACGAGACUUUGACCUACUAAAUAGCAGUCGUUGUUCUUCAAUGUCGCAGCUUCUUAGAGGGACCUUGUGUGAUUAACACAAGGAAGUUCAAGGCAAUAACA